GCCCAGACUCCUACGGGAGGCAGCAGUGGGGAAUAUUGCACAAUGGGAGAAGCCCUGAUGCAGCGACGCCGCGUGAGUGAAGAAGUAUUUCGGUAUGUAAAGCUCUCUCAGCAGGGAAGAUAAUGACGGUACCUGAGUAAGAAGCCCCGGCUAACUACGUGCCAGCAGCCGCGGUAAUACGUAGGGGGCAAGCGUUAUCCGGAUUUACUGGGUGUAAAGGGAGCGUAGACGGCAUGGCAAGUCUGAAGUGAAAGCCCGGGGCUCAACCGCGGGACUGCUUUGGAAACUGUUAAGCUGGAGUGCAGGGGAGGUAAGUGGAAUUCCUAGUGUAGCGGUGAAAUGCGUAGAUAUUAGGAGGAACACCAGUGGCGAAGGCGGCUUACUGGACUGUAACUGACGUUGAGGCUCGAAAGCGUGGGGAGCAAACAGGAUUAGAUACCCGCGUAU
rnacentral:rRNA from 1 species